rnacentral:rRNA from 1 species
UCUACAGGCUUAACACAUGCAAGUCGAGGGGCAGCAUGGUCUUAUCUUGCUAAGGCCGAUGGCGACCGGCGCACGGGUGAGUAACGCGUAUCCAACCUGCCUUACACUCUUGGACAGCCUUCUGAAAGGGAGAUUAAUACAAGAUGUUAUCAUGAGUAAGCAUUUUCGCAUGAUUAAAGGUUUACCGGUGUAAGAUGGGGAUGCGUUCCAUUAGAUAGUAGGCGGGGUAACGGCCCACCUAGUCUUCGAUGGAUAGGGGUUCUGAGAGGAAGGUCCCCCACAUUGGAACUGAGACACGGUCCAAACUCCUACGGGAGGCAGCAGUGAGGAAUAUUGGUCAAUGGACGAGAGUCUGAACCAGCCAAGUAGCGUGAAGGAUGAAGGUUCUAUGGAUUGUAAACUUCUUUUAUACGGGAAUAAACGAAUCCACGCGUGGAUUUUUGCAUGUACCGUAUGAAUAAGGAUCGGCUAACUCCGUGCCAGCAGCCGCGGUAAUACGGAGGAUCCGAGCGUUAUCCGGAUUUAUUGGGUUUAAAGGGAGCGUAGAUGGGUUGUUAAGUCAGUUGUGAAAGUUUGCGGCUCAACCGUAAAAUUGCAAUUGAUACUGGCAGUCUUGAGUACAGUUGAGGUAGGCGGAAUUCGUGGUGUAGCGGUGAAAUGCUUAGAUAUCACGAAGAACUCCGAUUGCGAAGGCAGCUUACUAACCUGUAACUGACAUUGAUGCUCGAAAGUGUGGGUAUCAAACAGGAUUAGAUACCCUGGUAGUCCACACGGUAAACGAUGAAUACUCGCUGUAGGCGAUAUACAGUCUGCGGCCAAGCGAAAGCAUUAAGUAUUCCACCUGGGGAGUACGCCGGCAACGGUGAAACUCAAAGGAAUUGACGGGGGCCCGCACAAGCGGAGGAACAUGUGGUUUAAUUCGAUGAUACGCGAGGAACCUUACCCGGGCUUAAAUUGCAACCGAAUAUGGCGGAAACGCUAUAGCUAGCAAUAGCGGUUGUGAAGGUGCUGCAUGGUUGUCGUCAGCUCGUGCCGUGAGGUGUCGGCUUAAGUGCCAUAACGAGCGCAACCCUUGCCGAUAGUUACUAACAGGUCAUGCUGAGGACUCUGUCGGGACUGCCAUCGUAAGAUGUGAGGAAGGUGGGGAUGACGUCAAAUCAGCACGGCCCUUACGUCCGGGGCUACACACGUGUUACAAUGGGGGGUACAGAGGGCUGCUACCACGCAAGUGGAUGCCAAUCCCAAAAACCUCUCUCAGUUCGGAUUGAAGUCUGCAACCCGACUUCAUGAAGCUGGAUUCGCUAGUAAUCGCGCAUCAGCCACGGCGCGGUGAAUACGUUCCCGGGCCUUGUACACACCGCCCGUCAAGCCAUGGGAGCCGGGGGUACCUGAAGUGCGUAACCGCAAGGAGCGCCCUAGGGUAAAACUGGUGACUG